UAAGCCAGACCUAACACGUCUGGCCCUGAUGGUACCCAGAGAAGAAGCACCGGCUAACUCUGUGCCAGCAGCCGCGGUAAUACAGAGGGUGCAAGCGUUAAUCGGAAUUACUGGGCGUAAAGGGUGCGUAGGUGGUUUGUUAAGUCAGGCGUGAAAUCCCUGGGCUCAACCUGGGAACUGCGUUUGAUACUGGCAGACUCGAGUCUGGUAGAGGGUAGUGGAAUUCCGCAUGUAGCGGUGAAAUGCGUAGAUAUGCGGAGGAACAUCAGUGGCGAAGGCGGCUACCUGGACCAAGACUGACACUGAGGCACGAAAGCGUGGGGAUCAAACAGGAUUAGAUACCCUGGUAGUCCACGCCCUAAACGAUGGGUACUAGACGUUGGGAGGUUUAUCCUCUUGGUGUCGCAGCUAACGCAAUAAGUACCCCGCCUGGGGAGUACGGUCGCAAGAUUAAAACUCAAAGGAAUUGACGG
rnacentral:rRNA from 1 species